UGAGUGGUUUCUUUGUUCUCUUAUUUGGAGAAAGACAAAGAAACCACUCAAAAAUGAAAGUUAGAUAAAGAAGUUUCAGUAAGAACUAGCACUAGACUUCUUCCCCCCUUUUGACUUUUCCUCUCUCUUUUUGUUUGUGCUUCCACCCGGGCUUUUCAUUCUGUUUUAUAGAGAGACCCGAGGAAAAAUGGAAUAAUUUAUAUAGAUAUGGAAAGGUGAGGAACUUUACCCGGCAUACGAAAAAAAAUCCAGGAUGACGGCUUUCAAAAGACGAGUAAGGACGGGGAGGGGGAGGCUCUCGAAACCAAACGAGACUAGAAGGAACAUGGGAAUUAGCACCAUUCCUAUGAGUGCUUUUGCCUCGAAGAGCCAACAAAGGGGCAGCCCUCUCUCUCUAUCUUGGUCUCGGUUUAGCAUCAUCAUAUAUCGAUCUGGAGAAAAUUUGGAUUGGUUGUAGUGCGGAUUAAGGAGCUGCUCCUCCAUGCUGUGGCUGUGGAGGGGGGGGGGGGCGCCCCCCCUGGGUUGGAAGUAUCCCCAUUUUUUUUACGGGCCUGCCGAAUCCUGAAAAAUGGGUUCUUGGGGAAGCGUGCUAGGGGAGGGUAGGGGCUGUCGCCGCCUGAUAGAGGCAAAAGCCGGGCCACCGGAGCUAUCUAGUCGAGUGUGUCGAUUGAAAGAGGAGGGGAGACAACUCAAAUGCCAGCGCAAAAAUAGAAAGAGUCGUGCCGUUCAAAGUUGAAUUCUUCUAAGAUCCAUUGCUCGAUUUUGCAUGCUCUGUUCCCAAAAUGCAUAGAGACUUGCGAGGGCAGAUCCGAGUUGGUUGGUUCGAAAAGUCAUGAUGGGAGAGGCAGGCUAAGUUAAAUAAAAUAAUAUACUGGUGCUACUAUAAAAUCUUAUGAAUCGCGCGCGGCACACUUUCUAUAUCUCCUCUGUCUACAAGGUGAACAGUUUAGCUUACAGCACAGCGUGUUCGCCACCACACUGGCUGGCUGGUGCAUUGACCUUACCGUAAGAGGGCCGGCCGAGAGGUAUGACCCUUCGAUUAGAAUAGAACGCCCCAUAUCUCGUAACACGCUCCGUGUGGCAUUUCCUUUUAUAAAGUCCGUAUAACUUCUAAC
rnacentral:misc_RNA from 1 species